GGUGGCUCAGUGGUAGAGUGUUUGCCUUGCAUGCAUGAGGCUCCGGGUUCGAUUCCUCGGCACCA
rnacentral:tRNA from 1 species